rnacentral:lncRNA from 1 species
UUCCACCUCCCAGCAGUCGAGAUCCAGCUCCUCCGCCAUCAGCCUCCCGUCGUUCCUGCAGCCAGCGAAUCAGGCGUUCGUCCGAAGCGUCUUCAACGCGUUCAUGGCACGAUUCAAGGCUGCAGCGAAUCUCCGGCCAUCCUUCCAUUUCGAACACAGCCGAGGCGUCCCAGAUUUUAGCUCCCAAUCGCGACCAGCAUCCUGUUUUUCGCCAUCACCGUCCGCAUCUUCUCCGGAUUCAAAACCCCCAAAUCACGGAUUGACGCCCUUCA